UUUUGAAUUAUUUUGGUUUUUCUGUUUUCUGAUUGCUUUUUGAUUGCUAUACGUAAAGGGUACUGCAAAAACUUCAGUUGAAGGUUUAUUUGCUGCUGGAGAUGUACAGGAUCCAUUACAACAAUUCCAAGAAAAUUGAUGUACAAACAAGUUUUGUGUCCAAGAGAAUGGAUUGGGAAGCAAAUAUUUUUUGGUUAUAUAAUGUUUAAAUUGUGGUGGAUAGACAUAGAACCAUCUUCUUUUUUGUAUUCCCAAUGUAGGGUCCUCUUUUUUGUAUAUUGAACUAUGAUAGGUUUUAUUCUAGAUGAAUGUAUUCUCAAUUAGAAAUUUCCCAAAAGAAUUGUGAUAAAUUUUAUUUCAAGAUGUAUGGCCAAUCAUAUGAUCUUUUAUGAA